rnacentral:pre_miRNA from 1 species
UUUUGCUGCUGCCACCAUAAACUGCCUUAAAUUUGCAUUGCACACUAUAAUGCAUUUUAUAUAGCAUUCCUAAGGUACACCACAAUCUUUAGUGUUCUGUAAAGUACAUUGUGGUGUGCAAUGUAAGUUCAGAAAAACUUGUGGUGGCAUGAGCAAAA